AAGGGCACCACAAGAACGCGUGGAGCAUGUGGCUUAAUUUGACCCAACGCGGGAAAUGUUACCGGGUCCGGACACACUGAGGAUUGACAGGCAAUCAUGUGAACAGCUUUUUGACUAGAAUUUUUUGAUUUUAGUUUUAAGAGGCGUUCUCAUAUAAAUAUGCUAGUCCUUUCAUGAUUAUGUGAUAGGUGGUGCAUGGCCGUUCUUAGUUCGUGGAGUGAUCUGUCUGCUUAAUUGCGUUUCGCAAUGGACUUAAUAACAAGUUGCGCUCUUCUUUUCUUUGUGGACAUUUUGCCUUGUUCUUUGCAUUUGAGUUGCUUUUAGUGAGUUUUAACGUUUUUAGUUUGUUUUACCCCAGUUUCGGCUGCGCGCGUAACUUUCUUUUUUAAACUAUUGCUUCAAGUUUUAAUUUAUUUGUGAGGGGCUCAUGGUGAAAUUCUGCUAUUUAUUGGGAGAGGAUUAGUGCACAUUGAGUCCUGAAAGCAACGAACGUGACCGCAUCCUUUUGUUGCCUUCUAACUAAACUAUUAAGCUUUAAAUUUCUUUUUUCAUUAAGAGAUUUUUUUAGCCAGUUUUAACAAAGUAGGCUCUAUUCUCUUCAUUAAAAACAGGGGAAUAAAACUAAAGGGACCGCUGCGACUUUUUUUAAACCAGAGAAGGUUGCGGCAAUAACAGGUCUGUGAUGCCCUUAGAUGAUUCCGGGCUGCACACGUGCUACAAUGAUUAUUGCAGUAAGCAUCUCAUUUCAAAAACGCUGUUAUUUAUAGAUUUUUCGUAGCUUUCUUUUUUCUAUAUGGACUUUAUUGUCUGUGUGGAGAGGGGAAGGUUAUGGAUAUUUUACAAUCAGUAAAUUCCAGCUUAGCCUGCUUCGAAAGUUAGCAGGUAAUCACUUGGAAGUAAUGAUUUCCCUUAUAUCAAAAUUUAUUUUUUGGUUUUGCGAGCACACAAUGUGCUGCUCUCUGUCUUGCUUGGGUAGCAAUUACGUCUACUUUUUAGCUAUACGGCAGAGAUGUUCCUGACUUUUUUUAUAAACAAAAAAACAAGGAAUUUACAGUGCGUGCUUUUUGUCAAUUCAUGGUGGGGACAGACCAUUGUUAAUUAUUGGUCUCGGUCUUAACUAGGAAUGCCUUGUACGGGUCUUUGGUUCAACAAACCACCCGGAAUACGUCCCUGCCCUUUGUACACACCGCCCGUCGCUCUUACCGAUGGACUUCUCUGUGAGUUUGAGGGACUGGGUACCUUAGCUUUGUCGGUUAGGCGGUUUUUAUUAACUGCUUCUGACACUAUAAACACUUAUGGAAACUUAAACGAACAGUGUGGUCUAAAGGAAAGAGAAGUCGUAACAAGGCAUCNGUAGGUGAACCU
rnacentral:rRNA from 1 species